rnacentral:tRNA from 1 species
ACUAGAUUGGCAGAAUAGUGCCAUUGAUUUAGAAUCUUUAUAUAAAUUACAUUUAUUUAGUA